UACGAAGGGGGCUAGCGUUGCUCGGAGUCACUGGGCGUAAAGGGUGCGUAGGCGGGUCUUUAAGUCAGGGGUGAAAUCCUGGAGCUCAACUCCAGAACUGCCUUUGAUACUGAGGAUCUUGAGUUCAGGAGAGGUGAGUGGAACUGCGAGUGUAGAGGUGAAAUUCGUAGAUAUUCGCAAGAACACCAGUGGCGAAGGCGGCUCACUGGCCCGAUACUGACGCUGGGGCACGAAAGCGUGGGGAGCAAACAGG
rnacentral:rRNA from 1 species